GAAAGACCUUCCUGGGUUUUAGCCUUGGCUCCACCUUUCUGUGCCUCGGUUUCCUCAAUUUUAAAGCGGCGACCUACCUCAUAAGGCUGUUCUGAGAAUUAAAUGAGCUAGUCAGUGUAAGGCAUGUUGGCGCUUCCUAAGUGGCAAUGACCAUGACGGUCGCCUUGGAUUUAGUAACCAGUUGGGGAGGGGGGCGGUGUGGUGAGUGGUUCCAGAGGGCUGAUGGGGUGAGGAGCAGAGUCUGGGGGCAUGCCCUCACAGCAGAAGCCACAAGGGAAACAACCGCGGGUAGCAAUCCCCCUUUCGUACUCUCCUACACCAUGGGAGGUUUCCCUGUGGGGCUGGCUCCAUAUGCAGACGGAAUUCUGAUAUGGCCGAGAACAUGCGGUCAAAGGUGAGUUUGUGGUCACUGGGAAAUGGGAGCCACAGUCAGGUCCUACCUUGGUGUGGGCACACUCAUGGCCUCCUUUGCAUCUUCUUCCAGCAACUUCGUGUAAGAUGCCGGGAACCAACCCCUCCUACAGGUAAAUAAUCUACACAGAAACCAACUUAACCACCUUACAGUAAAGCCUAUGCACCUACUUGUUGAAAUGAGGACACUAGCCUUUAAACUAUUUGUGGGCUAAAUCUUAACAAAAUCUAUCUAAUGUGCAUAUUAUCCUUGAGAAAUCCAAAGUCACAUUAAAAAAAAGGAAGAGAAAGAGUAUUUAAAGUACUUUCUGAGGCGACUUCAUAUGAUCUAUUCAAGAACCAAACUUAUCUGCAGAUGCACAGACAUACAGAAAAUGGCCCGGAACAGAGUAUAACUCCGAUGAACUAAACUAGAACCAUAACUAAACUAGGAACUUAACUUUGG